UAUCGUUACUUUACUAGUUUCCUCCAGUUUAUGUUCAGCUUGACGCGGAAACAGAAUUUUCUAGACUUGAUCUUGCGAAUUUCCAAGAAAGUUCCGUGAAAGUCCUAAACGGUCUUUGAUGGCGUCUUAUAUAAAUUAAUAAUGCCCCUUCCUGCCUUCCUUCUAUCAUAAGGCACCCUUCCCUCGCUUCCAAAUCUUCGACCUACCAUUUCUCACCAAAAAAAAACAUCUGGACCAAUCAAAACGUUCCGUUUCCCGCUCGCGAUCUCUCGCCGACAAGUGGGCCCGAACGCCCGGGGCCCAGGCGCAGCCAGACAAAACUCAGCAACGCAACCACCUCGCCGAAUAAUUUCGCCGCGUCGUGUUCCUCGCUUCCGCCACCGCGCCGGCGUGCCGUCUCCCGUUGGUCUCCAGCCGCCGAUUCGCGGGCACGGACGAGUUGGUGGUUAAAGCUAAACAUAACAGAUAUCUGACAAAACACAAAUUCGACGCCCAUGUUUGCAAGCAGUAUGGACAUUAUUGAUGUAAGUUCAGAUAGUGAAGACAUUAUUGACCUGUGCUCAGAUAGUGAAGACAACAUUGAUUUGCAUUCAGACAGAGAAGAUGAUCUUGGUUGUGAGGAUCCCGAUAAUAGUUUUCACCAGCUUCGUGUUUCUCCCAUCACAACAUCUGACCAGAAUAGCGUACAACCACCAAUAAGCUUGGAAGACUAUGAUUGGUUAAGUUGUAUUCAGGCUUCAUCCUCCCAUAGGCCUGCUGAGAACAGGUCAACCACUGAAAUGAGCAAGGUUCCUUUUGCUCCGGUGAACCAUGGUUCUUUUAUGGGGAUGCCACAUGAUUCUGCACAUGCUAUUCCUAUUGGCCAGUGGAUUGAUAAUGUGGGGACACUGCAUGUAAGUGACGAUAACAAGAAGACUCUUCCAUUGUCACUAACAAAUGGUACUGCUGCAAAAUCUGAACAUUUCUAUGCUUCAAAUGAUGCGCAUCAGUUUCCACAAUCUUUCACUCAGGGAAGCUCUAGAAUUUUCAGUGAAAAUAGGAUUCUGCAUCAAUCAAUUGAGCCCAAUCAUUCAAGUUUAGGUGACAACAGGAUCAAGGAAGAGCUCACUGUGAAGUCUAAUGGUUUUCAAAGAUGUCUUGCCAAUGGAAAUGGGAUGUCUUCAUCUACAAUGCCAACAGAUGAUGUCUAUGUAUAUGGAGGUCCACGUUCACAUAGGAUUUUCCCUCCGCCGAUGCCAUCCAUGGCUUCUGUUAAUGAUGCUGAAGUUGCUAAUGACGUUGAAAAAAGGCUUUUUGGUUUUAAUGAGAAAGUUGUAUAUGAAGAAGCCCUGCAGCAUAUCAGUCAGGAAAAAAAGGAAGAAGAUCUGCCUGAAGGUGUUAUGUCAGUAUCACUCCUUAAGCAUCAGAAAAUAGCAUUAGCUUGGAUGAUUUCCAAGGAGAAUAGUUCGCAUUGUCCAGGUGGAAUUUUGGCAGAUGAUCAGGGUCUUGGGAAGACAAUAUCAACGAUUGCACUUAUACAGAAGGAGAGGGUUCAGCAGUCUAGGUUCAUGGCUGAUUUUUACCGUACGAAAUCUGUACUAAGCGUUGAUGACGAUGAUGACGUAGUGGUUGUCAUGGACAAGAAAGAACUGAAGGACGAACCCCAGAAUAAGCUAGAUAAUUCUACACCAUUGCAUGUUGCCACCGGUCUUAAGUCCUGUGCUAGUCGGUCAAGGGCUGCUGCGGAUAGUAUAGUCGAGACCAUUGAAGUUGAACCCAAGAAGAAGACCAGAGUGAGAUCCACUGCAUCAACCUUGAAGUCCAAUACUAGAGCAGCUGCAGGAACAUUGGUGGUGUGCCCCGCUAGUGUUCUUAAGCAGUGGGCUAAUGAGUUGUCUGUGAAGGUUAUGGAAAGUGCUAAAUUGUCUGUUUUGGUUUAUCAUGGAGGUUCAAGGACUAGAGAUCCAACUGAGUUGGCAACAUAUGAUGUUGUUGUCACCACAUACACAACUGUGGCCCAUGAAGUGCCUAAAGAAAACUCUGAUGAUGAGCAAAAGAACAAUGAAAUGUAUGGAAUAUGUCCGGAAUUUUGCGUCGGCAGCAAAAGAAAACAACCCCCACUAGAGCAGAGCAAGGCAAAGGAAAAUAAACCAAAUGGAGGGCCACUUGCCAGGGUACGAUGGUUCAGAGUUGUACUAGAUGAAGCUCAGACAAUAAAAAAUUACCGGACUCAAGUGGCUAGAGCUUGUUGUGGACUGAGCGCGGAAAGGAGAUGGUGCUUAUCAGGAACACCCAUACAAAAUAAAAUUGAUGAUCUAUACAGCUAUUUCUGUUUCUUGAAAUACGAACCAUAUUCUGAAUUUAGUUCGUUUUCCGAUAUGAUAAAGAACCCAAUUUCUAAAGAUCCAGUUCGAGGCUAUAAGAAGCUUCAAGCUAUCUUGAGGAUAGUUCUACUGCGGCGCACAAAAGAAACACUUAUUGAUGGAGAACCAAUCAUUAAACUACCACCAAAGACAAUUCAGCUGAGUAAAAUAGAUUUCACCCAAGAUGAGCGAGCUUUCUACUUGACACUUGAAGAAGGCUCUCGGCAAAAGUUCAAGGCAUAUGAUGCUGCUGGGACGAUAAAGGAAAAUUAUGCAAACAUCCUUGUGUUGCUGUUGCGGCUUCGGCAGGCUUGUGACCAUCCUCUUCUUUUGAAGGGGCAAAAAUCAGAUUUGAUUGACAAUGGCUCUGUAGAAAGGGCAAAGCAACUUCCUAAGGAAACAGUGACAAAUUUGCUUGAAAAGCUGGAAAGAGAUUCUGCAAUUUGUUCCAUAUGCAGUGUAAGCAAUCAGGACCCACCUGAGGAUGCUGUUGUAGCAACAUGUGGUCAUGUUUUUUGCUAUCAGUGUGUAUAUGGAAGCUUAAUAAGCGAUGAGAAUGUCUGCCCCUCUCCACUUUGCAGAAAGGAAAUAAGUGCUCAAUCUGUUUUUUCACCUGCAGCAUUAAACCUUUGUAUCUUGUCUAAAUUGGAGUCUGAUGCAACAACUAGUUGUUCUACAGCUGCGGACAAACUGUCCUCAAUCUGUGAAAGUAGUUACAUCUCCUCAAAGAUCCGGGCAGCCGUGGACAUACUUAACUCAAUCAUCAACACGUGCACCCUUACAGGGGGUGACACUACAGAAUCAGUGCCAGGCGAGACAGCUCCUGUUAAAGCAAUAGUCUUCACCCAGUGGACUGGCAUGUUGGAUUUGCUGGAGCUUUCACUGAAAAGCAAUCAUAUUGAAUUCAGGAGACUAGAUGGGUCGAUGUCUCUGAACAUAAGAGAAAGCGCAGUGACAGAGUUCAAGACUGACCCAGAGGUGAGAGUAAUGAUUAUGUCACUGAAGGCUGGCAAUCUUGGUCUAAACAUGAUAGCUGCUUGCCAUGUGAUUAUGCUUGAUCCUUGGUGGAAUCCUUAUGCAGAGGACCAAGCAGUUGAUAGAGCACAUAGAAUUGGUCAGACCCGCCCUGUUAAUGUUUCCCGUUUAACAAUUAAAGACACGGUGGAAGAUCGAAUUUUAGCUCUGCAGGAGAAUAAGAGAAAGAUGGUCCAAUCUGUGUUCGGCGAGGACAAGUCCAGCGGCAAUGCUACUCGGCUCACCGUAGAAGACCUCAGAUAUCUCUUCAUGGUGUGAUGGCACCUUGUAAUUCUUUGUAGGCCAUCUAAGGUGCUAUGAUGGACUAGUUUCAGCCUGCCUUUCUUUGUUGCUUUUCCAGUUUUGUUUGUCCGAACAAGAGAAGGAUGAUGAAAGGAAAGUGAAAAUUCCACUAGUACUCUCCGACAUAUAGGUUACCAGGAUUAUUUAUUUGUGUUGAUAUUCGUGUUAUAUGGUAUGUGAAAAAAAUUAUGAGAUAAGUAAAAGAAUUAAUGAGUGUAUGAAUAUCAGAUGAAAUGAAUGGAUAAGAUAACCCGUGUAUCCACACCUAUAACAGAUGGAUCGGCAGGGACAUAUUCCGUGACCACGCAACUGACAAGCUCAGCAAAGAACUCAGAUAUCUCUUUGAUGUGUGAUUACAGCUUCGUACAGGCCUUCAUACCGCUGGUGCCUUUUGAAUUAAUAAUACACUUUCCCAUGUUUGACAUCAUUUAUGUAACGAUUUAUUUUCCCCUCUGAACUCAACUGGAUGCUAAAAAUUGUAAUAAGGACUAGGCUACGUGCAUUGAACCAUGCAGAGGCCGGAACAUUAUUUCCAUUAUGUAAAAAAGAAGUUGUAGAAUGCUACAGGGUAUAUGACGUUGUUUUGUGGUUUUGGACUUAUGAAAGCAUGGUAUAUUUACCGAGCCCUGUUCUGAAAGCAUGGAUUUUGCAAGAAUUCUACAUUCAGUUGGAGUGGAUGUUUCCUUCCCGAUGAGGUUUCGAAUUCAAGAAUUGCGACACAACGACGA